GAUGAACGCUGGCGGCGUGCCUAAUACAUGCAAGUCGAGCGAACAGAUGAGGAGCUUGCUCCUCUGACGUUAGCGGCGGACGGGUGAGUAACACGUGGAUAACCUACCUAUAAGACUGGGAUAACUUCGGGAAACCGGAGCUAAUACCGGAUAAUAUAUUGAACCGCAUGGUUCAAUAGUGAAAGACGGUUUUGCUGUCACUUAUAGAUGGAUCCGCGCCGCAUUAGCUAGUUGGUAAGGUAACGGCUUACCAAGGCAACGAUGCGUAGCCGACCUGAGAGGGUGAUCGGCCACACUGGAACUGAGACACGGUCCAGACUCCUACGGGAGGCAGCAGGAGGGAAACUUCCGCAAUGGGCGGAAGCCUGACGGAGCAACGCCGCGUGAGUGAUGAAGGUCUUCGGAUCGUAAAACUCUGUUAUUAGGGAAGAACAAAUGUGUAAAUAACUAUGCACGUCUUGACGGUACCUAAUCAGAAAGCCACGGCUAACUACGUG
rnacentral:rRNA from 1 species